rnacentral:rRNA from 1 species
UGGCAUGCANGUCGAGCGAGAAGGNCUUUUNCUUGCAUUAGACCGGACAGCGGCGAAAGGGUGAGUAACGCGUAGUUACCUGCCCCAGGGUUGGGAAUAGCCUCGGGAAACUGAGGGUAAUGCCCAAUAACAUCUCCGGAUCAAAGGUGAGAUUCCGCCCUGGGAGGGGACUGCGUACUACUAGCUUGUUGGUGGGGUAACGGCCUACCAAGGCGACGAUGGUUAGCGGGCGUGAGAGCGUGGCCCGUCACACUGGGACUGAGACACUGCCCAGACACCUACGGGUGGCUGCAGUCGAGAAUCUUCGGCAAUGCGCGAAAGCGUGACCGAGCAAUGCCGCGUGCGGGAUGAAGGCCCUCGGGUUGUAAACCGUGAAAGUGAAUAGGAAGGCCCUGUGAAGAGCAGGGUUUGACCGAGACACAGUAAGGACGGGCUAAGUUCGUGCCAGCAGCCGCGGUAACACGAACCGUCCAAACGUUAUUCGGAAUCAUUGGGCUUAAAGGGUGCGUAGGCGGUGCGUUAAGUCGGGUGUGAAAUCCCUCAGCUCAACUGAGGAACUGCGCCCGAUACUGACGUGCUUGAGGGAGACAGAGGUGAGCGGAACUGAUGGUGGAGCGGUGAAAUGCGUUGAUAUCAUCAGGAACACCGGUGGCGAAAGCGGCUCACUGGGUCUCUUCUGACGCUGANGCACGAAAGCUAGGGUAGCGAACGGGAUUAGAUACCCCGGUAGUCCUANCUGUAAAUGAUGAGCACUUGGUUGANGGCCCCCCCAUNNNCUCUCGGCCGUANCGAAANUGUUAAGUGCUCCGCCUGGGGAGUAUGGUCGCANGGCUGAAACU